AUAUUUGCUAAGAGCACCAUGCGCGCAGCAGCCAUCUCCACUCCAAAGUUAGACAAAAUGCCAGGAAUGUUCUUCUCUGCUAACCCAAAGGAAUUGAAAGGAACCACUCAUUCACUUCUAGACGACAAAAUGCAAAAAAGGAGGCCAAAGACUUUUGGAAUGGAUAUGAAAGCAUACCUGAGAUCUAUGAUCCCACAUCUGGAAUCUGGAAUGAAAUCUUCCAAGUCCAAGGAUGUACUUUCUGCUGCUGAAGUAAUGCAAUGGUCUCAAUCUCUGGAAAAACUUCUUGCCAACCAAAGUAAGUAUAACUAUUGAAUGUUUCUGGGUUCAGCUAAAUACUCUAAAAAAUUGAAUGGCUUCACUAAAUAUAGUAUUCUGGGUAGGAUAGUAUGCAAAAGGUUGUAUUCUAGUUUGUCUGUAGUUACUGAUAACUUCAGCAUAGUAUGCCUCUUAAUAAUGCUGACUUAGCACUCAAUUCUGCCAACUCCUUUUAGACAAAUUUGCCAAGACAAUUAGGUAUUUUCAUAGAUCAUUAUGGAGAUAAAAUUAAACAUUGUGCUGGGAUUCUGAUAUGUAAAAAUUUUAAAAGUAAGCCAAAUAUUUUAAUAUGUACAUUGCCAUUUUGAAAUCUGCCUAAAGAAUGUAUUUUUCUACACUUGGAUGCAACAAGUAUGAUUCAUUCAUCCAAUUAAUUAAAUUAUCUUUCAUACAUUCAUCAUUCAUCUCACCCUUAUGUAGAGGACAUUGUAGAGGUACCAAGGAUUCAAAAUCAAAGACAGUCUCUUACUGCCUUGAAGGUGGUUGAGAUACAUAACAUAAAUAAUUGCAUUAUUAUAACAUGAUAGUUUUUAUGACAUAAAUAUGAUAGAAGGAUUUUUAAGCACAUAUAGUCUUGUGGAGAUUUUCUGAUGAGAGAAGGUAAAGAAUGAAAUCAGCUUGCCAUCCCCUUGUCUUGGGCAUUACAAUUCUACUGAGAUUAGGACCUUUUUCAGAGGUGUAGAUGAGCAGUGUGGUCUCUGUCUCUAAAGAGUGAGAUUAUUCUUUUCUCCCCACAGACACUCUAAGGAGCUUUACUUGGGAAUCACAUUGUUCACUCUAGCUCAGCUGACUUUGUUUAUAAUUCAGCUAAACAAAUAAAUGGUAUAGAUAUGGACCAUAAAUGGUGCCAUAUAAAAGUCUCAGUGAAUGCUAGCAAACAUAAUUAGUACAUCAGGCCUACAGAUCAUAUAUAGGCCUAACAUUUUCUGGCUAAUAUAAAUUAGAUGGGGAAAUUAUAUUUACUAAUUAUUGUGAUGUUAAUGCCUUUUGUCAGUGUUUGCUUCCCUAAAAUACUCUCUACUCUGGCUAAGAUUUGGCAUAUAUAAAAGAUGGUUUUAUAUUCGGUGGAGCAGAAUUUCAAUUCGAACAGCGGAUAGAAGCAAAACAGUUUGGUAGCCACCAUCAAGUAGCAAUGUGACUGUGAAUGAGUUUGUCUGGCCCCAGAUUCCUCUUCUAUGAAUGAAGAAAUUUCAAAUGACUUCUCAUCUCUACAAUCUAUAACACAGCUAUUUCAGCAGUAGCUGUCUCUUACCUUUGUAUGAAUAGGAAGCAAUUGUAUUUUUCUUACAAAUUUCUUCUUCAAAUUAUUCAUUUGUUGGUUCAUUUAAUUUAAUUAUCUCCCCACCCACCCCUCGUUUCUUUUUAGCUGGUCAAAAUGUCUUUGGAAGUUUCCUAAAGUCUGAAUUCAGUGAGGAGAAUAUUGAGUUCUGGCUGGCUUGUGAAGACUAUAAGAAAACAGAGUCUGAUCUUUUGCCCUGUAAAGCAGAAGAGAUAUAUAAAGCAUUUGUGCAUUCAGAUGCUGCUAAACAAAUCAAUAUUGACUUCCGCACUCGAGAAUCUACAGCCAAGAAGAUUAAAGCACCAACCCCCACGUGUUUUGAUGAAGCACAAAAAGUCAUAUAUACUCUUAUGGAAAAGGACUCUUAUCCCAGGUUCCUCAAAUCAGAUAUUUACUUAAAUCUUCUAAAUGACCUGCAGGCUAAUAGCCUAAAGUGACUGGUCCCUGAAGGGAAUUAACAGAUAGUAUCAAGCGCAGAAGGAAUGUGCCAGUAUGGCUCCCUGGGUGAACAGCUUGGCCUUUUUUGGGUGUCUUGACAGGCCAAGAAGAACAAAUGACUCAGAAUGGAUUAACAUGAAAGUUAUCCAGGCGCAGAGUUGAAGAAGCAUAAGCAAGACAAAAACAGAGAGACCGCAGAAGGAGGAAGAUACUGUGGUACUGUCAUAAAAAACAGUGGAGCUCUGUAUUAGAAAGCCCCUCAGAACUGGGAAGGCCAGGUAACUCUAGUUACACAGAAACUGUGACUAAAGUCUAUGAAACUGAUUACAACAGACUGUAAGAAUCAAGGUCAACUGACAUCUAUGCUACAUAUUAUUAUAUAGUUUGUACUGAGCUAUUGAAGUCCCAUUAACUUAAAGUAUAUGUUUUCAAAUUGCGAUUGCUACUAUUGCUUGUCGGUGUUAUUUUAUUUUAUUGUUUUUGACUUUGGAAGAGAUGAACGGUGUAUUUAACUUAAGCUAUUGCUCUUAAAACCAGGGAGUCAGAAUAUAUUUGUAAGUUAAAUCAUUGGUGCUAAUAAUAAAUGUGGAUUUUGUAUUAAAAUAUAUAGAAGC
rnacentral:sRNA from 1 species